GAUUUAACCCAGCCGCAGGAGAGCUCCUAUGGGGGCACGUCCAGAAAAGCCCCAAAGGGGGAUUGGAGGAAAGCACGUGGAUCUACACUCUUUCCAGCACCGGCAAAGGUAGAAACACAGUAUCACCUGAAAGUGUCAAAUGGGGAAACCGAGGCUCAGAAAAACCAAGUGGAUCCUCUCAAAAACACAGAACAAAUAUUCAGGGAAGUGGCGACUAAAUCUCAAGUCUGUGUCACGAGCUGGUGUUCCUGAGACCACAGGGCCCCGUGCAGAUGGCAUUAGUUAAAAGCAGCACAUUGGAGGAAGCACUAGAGAUCCGGAGCCCACACGGUUCCCUGCAGUCUACUUCAUAAAGAGACUUCACGUCUUGGCGAGGAUCUUGGACUGUCUCUGAUUUCUUUCACUUGUUUUAUAAAACCAGUAAAGUCAAGUCAUUGAAACAUUUUACUGGCAGUUCUGGGUGUAUUCUAAUUGUCCUGUAGUGGGAAUUCCCGUUAUUGCCAGAGAGAAAGCAACCACUCCAAUUCCUUGAGGACUACUUAGAGGGUAGAUUUACGGGGAGGAAACAGGAAUGGGGUUGAGGCAUAAC
rnacentral:lncRNA from 1 species